rnacentral:tRNA from 1 species
GCUCCAGUGGCGCAAUGGGUUAGCGUGUGGUACUUAUAAUGCCAAGGUUGUGAGUUCAAACCUCACCUGGAGUA